CCUACGGGUGGCAGCAGUGAGGAAUAUUGGUCAAUGGGCGGAAGUCUGAACCAGCCAUGCAGCGUGCAGGAAGACGGCCCUACGAGUUGUAAACUGCUUUUGUACAAGAGUAAACCUGAAUACGUGUAUUCAGCUGAAAGUACUGUACGAAUAAGGAUCGGCUAACUCCGUGCCAGCAGCCGCGGUAAUACGGAGGAUCCAAGCGUUAUCCGGAUUUAUUGGGUUAAAAGGGUGCGCAGGCGGACGAUCAAGUCAGCGGUAAAAUUGACGGGCUCAACCUCUUCGGGCCGUUGAAACUGGCUGUCUUGAGUGAGCGAGAAGUAUGCGGAAUGCGUGGUGUAGCGGUGAAAUGCAUAGAUAUCACGCAGAACUCCGAUUGCGAAGGCAGCAUACCGGCGCUCCACUGACGCUCAUGCACGAAAGUGUGGGUAUCGAACAGGAUUAGAUACCCUAGUAGUC
rnacentral:rRNA from 1 species